UACGUAGGGUGCAAGCGUUGUCCGGAAUUAUUGGGCGUAAAGAGCUCGUAGGCGGUCUGUCGCGUCGGCUGUGAAAACUCGGGGCUCAACCCCGAGCCUGCAGUCGAUACGGGCAGACUAGAGUCCGGCAGGGGAGACUGGAAUUCCUGGUGUAGCGGUGAAAUGCGCAGAUAUCAGGAGGAACACCGGUGGCGAAGGCGGGUCUCUGGGCCGUAACUGACGCUGAGGAGCGAAAGCGUGGGGAGCGAACAGG
rnacentral:rRNA from 1 species